CGGCAGGCUACACAUGCAAUUCGAGGGGUAACAGGAAAGCUUGCUUUCGCUGACGACCGGCGCACGGGUGCGUAACGCGUAUGCAACCUACCUCAUACUGGAGAAUAGCCCCUGGAAACGGGGAUUAAUACUCCAUGGUAUCAUUCUUUCGCGUGUUAGAAUGAUUAAAGAAUUUCGGUAUGAGAUGGGCAUGCGUCCCAUUAGCUAGUUGGUGAGGUAACGGCUCACCAAGGCGACGAUGGGUAGGGGGCGUGAGAGGGUGGUCCCCCACACUGGUACUGAGACACGGACCAGACUCAUACGGGAGGCAGCAGUGAGGAAUAUUGGUCAAUGGAGGCAACUCUGAACCAGCCAUGCCGCGUGAAGGAUGACGGCCCUAUGGGUUGUAAACUU
rnacentral:rRNA from 1 species